UACAGAGGGUGCAAGCGUUAAUCGGAUUUACUGGGCGUAAAGCGCGCGUAGGUGGCCAAUUAAGUCAAAUGUGAAAUCCCCGAGCUUAACUUGGGAAUUGCAUUCGAUACUGGUUGGCUAGAGUAUGGGAGAGGAUGGUAGAAUUCCAGGUGUAGCGGUGAAAUGCGUAGAGAUCUGGAGGAAUACCGAUGGCGAAGGCAGCCAUCUGGCCUAGUACUGACACUGAGGUGCGAAAGCAUGGGGAGCAAACAGGAUUAGAUACCCUGGUAGUCCAUGCCGUAAACGAUGUCUACUAGCCGUUGGGGCCUUUGAGGCUUUAGUGGCGCAGCUAACGCGAUAAGUAGACCGCCUGGGGAGUACGGUCGCAAGACUAAAACUCAAAUGAAUUGACGGGGGCCCGCACAAGCGGUGGAGCAUGUGGUUUAAUUCGAUGCAACGCGAAGAACCUUACCUGGUCUUGACAUAGUAAGAGCUUUCCAGAGAUGGAUUGGUGCCUUCGGGAACUUACAUACAGGUGCUGCAUGGCUGUCGUCAGCUCGUGUCGUGAGAUGUUGGGUUAAGUCCCGCAACGAGCGCAACCCUUUUCCUUAUUUGCCAGCGGGUUAAGCCGGGAACUUUAAGGAUACUGCCAGUGACAAACUGGAGGAAGGCGGGGACGACGUCAAGUCAUCAUGGCCCUUACGACCAGGGCUACACACGUGCUACAAUGGUCGGUACAAAGGGUUGCUACCACGCGAGUGGAUGCUAAUCUCAAAAAGCCGAUCGUAGUCCGGAUUGGAGUCUGCAACUCGGCUCCAUGAAGUCGGAAUCGCUAGUAAUCGCGGAUCAGAAUGCCGCGGUGAAUACGUUCCCGGGCCU
rnacentral:rRNA from 1 species